AAAAGUCUGCGUAAGGGAUAGAAGCGGCAUCCUUUUAUGUUGGGGUUCACCAUAAAAGAUAGAGUGGAUAGCCCGACCCGAA
rnacentral:sRNA from 22 species